GACGAACGCUGGCGGCGUGCUUAACACAUGCAAGUCGAACGGAAAGGCCCUGCUUUUGUGGGGUGCUCGAGUGGCGAACGGGUGAGUAACACGUGUGUAACCUGCCCUUGACUUUGGGAUAACUUCAGGAAACUGGGGCUAAUACCGGAUAGGAGCUCCUGCUGCAUGGUGGGGGUUGGAAAGUUUCGGCGGUUGGGGAUGGACUCGCGGCUUAUCAGCUUGUUGGUGGGGUAGUGGCUUACCAAGGCUUUGACGGGUAGCCGGCCUGAGAGGGUGACCGGCCACGUUGGGACUGAGAUACGGCCCAGACUCCUACGGGAGGCAGCAGUGGGGAAUAUUGCACAAUGGGCGGAAGCCUGAUGCAGCAACGCCGCGUGCGGGAUGACGGCCUUCGGGUUGUAAACCGCUUUCGCCUGUGACGAAGCGUGAGUGACGGUAAUGGGUAAAGAAGCACCGGCUAACUACGUG
rnacentral:rRNA from 1 species